rnacentral:rRNA from 1 species
UACGUAGGUGGCAAGCGUUGUCCGGAUUUAUUGGGUUUAAAGGGUGCGUAGGCGGUUUUUUAAGUCAGUGGUGAAAUACUUCAGCUCAACUGGAGAGGUGCCAUUGAUACUGGGAAACUUGAGUACUGAUGAGGUAGGCGGAAUGGACGGUGUAGCGGUGAAAUGCUUAGAUAUCGUCCAGAACACCGAUAGCGAAGGCAGCUUACUGGGCUGUAACUGACGCUGAUGCACGAAAGUGUGGGGAUCAAACAGG